rnacentral:rRNA from 1 species
CAGCAGCCGCGGUAAUACGUAGGGUGCGAGCGUUAAUCGGAAUUACUGGGCGUAAAGCGUGCGCAGGCGGUUUGUUAAGACAGAUGUGAAAUCCCCGGGCUCAACCUGGGAACUGCAUUUGUGACUGGCAAGCUAGAGUGUGGCAGAGGGGGGUGGAAUUCCGCGUGUAGCAGUGAAAUGCGUAGGUAUGCGGAGGAACACCGAUGGCGAAGGCAGCCCCCUGGGCCAACACUGACGCUCAUGCACGAAAGCGUGGGGAGCAAACAGGAUUAGAUACCCCAGUAGUCCCUGUCUCUUAUAA